rnacentral:lncRNA from 1 species
UAUACAAUCAUGAUAAAGAUCCAUGAGUUCACAAUUUCAUACAGAUAACUUUCAAUGGCUGGUGUCAAGCAAAGGAACAAGUUUAUAAUAAUACAAAGUACGCAUUUUGAGGGGGUUGGGGAAGCUGGAUCAGCACACCUUGUAACAGGUAUCCUUCCCGUUAUUUUUUCACUAAAGGAGAAUGAAUGCCAUAAAUACUGUUUCUAAUUUCCCCCCUUUAUUCCAAUGAACUGAAUCCGAAUUCAUGGGGUUGAAUUCUAUGAUGGCUGCAAAUGACACCAUCAGGGCAUGUAUCUAAACUGUCAACUACUUUAAAAAUCAAAAUGAGUUGAGUUAGAACAGAGGAUGUACACUGAGCUCAUUUUGUACAAUUACAUUUACAGCACUGUAUUGAGAGGGAGAAACACCAAGAACCUAAAUUGCUACCUGACUAACCCAAUUCAUUUGCAAUUUCAAGAUGGGUUCUUCACAAUCUUAACAUUGCUGUAGAAACGCUUCAGGUCCUUUAUAGCCUUCUCCUCGAUUUGAAUUGAACGAAUCGAUGAUGGUGUGUCAACUUCUGGUUUGAACCAGCGGUUUAUUCCACUGGAAUCUGAUGGAGAGCCUUGACCAGAAGUAAUUGAAAAGCCAGCUGUUCUCACCUUUGGACUAUUUGAUAGUACUUGUUGUUUUCCUUUCUGCGAGAUAAGAAAAACAAACAGCAGUGUCAGAUUUCUGCUAGAAUAAAUUAAGAAUUGACUUCAACUUUGAACUAAUCCAAAAAAACAG